GUUAUUUUAAAGAAUUGAAUUAAAUAUCGUUCACCUUUACAAAAAUUAGUUUCACGAAUAAUUUUCAUGUCACAAUAUUAUAAUGUUGACAUCUUCAUUUUUACUGUUUUACUUCCUUGACAAAGAAGUAAACAAGGAACUUGUGGCAUAAAUUCUUGGCAACAUUACAAAAUUACAACCCGUAUAAAUAUAUUUUUUUUCAAUGCAAAUUAAAAGAUAACUUUUCGCACAGCUACUCGUCAAACAAAUAAAAUGAUGUAUGCAAUUGUUGCCUUUGAUGAGGAAAAUAACACUGACUAUCUACCUCUAAUUUGGCUUGUUAAUGCGAUGAGCGAAAAUGUUCUGUCUAUAAUAUCUUCAAGGAAAUCAACAGAUUUUUAUUGGCCACGCUGGACAAAUAUGAAAAAAAUUGACGCAGCAAAAUCAAUCUGUCAAGAACCAGAAGUUGGUUGGCUGCGAUUUUCUGGAAGAAUUUUGUCCACUGCUGACACAGAAUCUGAAGCAAAAGAAAAAUGUAAAUAUGCGGAAGAUACAUCAAAUGUUGAUGAACUAUAUCUAAAAAAUCGAAAAAGGUCUAUAAAGUUCAACAAUUUCAUUUCGAUAGAUGGAAGAUAUUUACAUUCUUUUGUAACCUUAUAUGAUUAUAAUAAAAUAAUCUUAAUACAAUUAAAAAUAAUAAUGCUUGUAUUCCAUAAUUAGCCAGUCUUGUGAAGAAGAUUCUCAAGUAAAGUUAUUUGAAAAAAAAAAGGAAAUUGAAUCUAUAUUUUUU
rnacentral:misc_RNA from 1 species